CGCGGUAAUACGGAAGGUUCGGGCGUUAUCCGGAUUUAUUGGGUUUAAAGGGAGCGUAGGCCGUAGAUUAAGCGUGUUGUGAAAUGUAGAUGCUCAACAUCUGACUUGCAGCGCGAACUGGUUUACUAGAGUGUGCACAACGUAGGCGGAAUUCGUCGUGUAGCGGUGAAAUGCUUAGAUAUGACGAAGAACUCCGAUUGCGAAGGCAGCUUACGGGAGCACAACUGACGCUGAAGCUCGAAGGUGCGGGUAUCAAACAGGAUUAGAUACCCUGGUAGUCCGCACAGUAAACGCUGGAUGCCCGCUGUUGGUUCAUUAGAGUCAGCGGCCAAGCGAAAGCAUUAAGCAUCCCACCUGGGGAGUACGCCGGCAACGGUGAAACUCAAAGGAAUUGACGGGGGCCCGCACAAGCGGAGGAACAUGUGGUUUAAUUCGAUGAUACGCGAGGAACCUUACCCGGGCUUGAA
rnacentral:rRNA from 1 species